GUCUUAAUAGUUAAAGUUAUAAUUUAAUCUUGAAGCGGUUGAGGUGGAUAAAAUCCUUGGGACA